rnacentral:rRNA from 1 species
GUACACACCGCCCGUCGCUGCUACCGAUUGGAUGAUCCGGUGAAAUCUCURGAUCGUGUUAAAAUACUCUGGGUAACACUAGAGUUUUAAURUGCGAGAAGUUGAUUAAACCUUAUCAUCUAGAGGAAGCAAAAGUCGUAACAAGGUUUCCGUAGGUGAACCUGCAGAAGGAUCA